rnacentral:rRNA from 1 species
GACGAACGCUGGCGGCGUGCUUAACACAUGCAAGUCGAACGAAGUGGGAACGGGUGAGUAAUACGUGGGUAACCUCCCUCCUUUUUGGGAUAAGCCUUGGAAACGGGGUCUAAACCGAAUAGAUGGGCUCGCGGCCUAUCAGCUUGUUGGUGGGGUGAUGGGCUACAAAGGCGGUGACGGGUAGCCGGCCUGGGAGGGUGACCGGCCACAUUGGGACUGAGACACGGCCCAGACCCCUACGGGAGGCAGCAGUGGGGAAACUUCCGCAAUGGACGAAAGGCUGACGGAGCAACGGCGCGGGAGGUAUGACGGCCUUCGGGUUGUAAAGCUCUGUUAAUCGGGACGCGGUACCGGAAUAGAAAGCCACGGCUAACUACGUGCCAGCAGCCGCGGUAAUUC